rnacentral:rRNA from 1 species
CCUACGGGAGGCAGCAGUGAGGAAUAUUGGUCAAUGGGCGAGAGCCUGAACCAGCCAAGUCGCGUGAGGGAGUACUGCCCUAUGGGUUGUAAACCUCUUUUGUCGGGGAGCAAAAGCCGGACGUGUCCGGCUGAUAGAGUACCCGAAGAAAAAGGCUCGGCUAACCUCGUGCCAGUAGCCGCGGUAAUACGGAGGAUGCGAGCGUUUUCCGAAUUUAUUGGGUUUAAAGGGGGCGCAGGCGGAUUUUUAAGUUCGCGGUCAAAUCGUGGGGCUUAACCCCCUCCAGCCGUUGAAACUGGGGAUCUAGAGUGUGCGAGAGGUAUGCGGAAUGCGUGGUGUAGCGGUGAAAUGCAUAGAUAUCACGCAGAACCCCGAUUGCGAAGGCAGCAUACCGGUGCACAACUGACGCUCAGGCACGAAAGCGUGGGUAUCGAACAGGAUUAGAUACCCGAGUAGUC